CGCGUAUUGUUCUUAGCACAAUUUGUUUAGACUUUGUGAUUUUCUAUUGGUUUACUUUCCUUAUCUGUCAGUUUUGUGUGCCAGCAGACAGAUCUAAUCAUGGUGACUGUGAAGGUCAAUGAACAAUAUUGAUUAUCCACUUGGUAUUUAAACGUUAUGUAGUUGUUGUUAUUGCGAUUACGACAAAAAUUUAAAACAAAAAUUUGGUGACUGCAGAAAAUAUAUUUUCAAGGUUACGGAUUACAGCCACGGUAAGAAUGAGGUAAAGCGAAGAGAGUUGAAUGGUUUAGGAGAAAAGACGAGGUAUCAAGUAUCCAAGGAACAACAACGGAUGUCAUUGCAGUGUGAACAACGGAGAAGUUUUAUAGUGUUCCGCCAACUUUGUACGGAGGAGAAGAGUGUGGAAUCUGUCCUGCCGUUUUAGGAGCGACGGCCGAUCGCGGAGGGAGCAGAGAUGGCAGUUUUUCUGUUUGUUGCAAGGGAAGAAGAAACAACUCAAAGAAUUAUUUACUAAGGAAAAUAGAUGGGCAAAAAGGUGUUAAAGGUCGCUUACAAUCGUGUCUGAGGCCUUCUUUAACUUUUAUACUUUUUUCCUCCUACAUUUGAUAACUGUAGAAUACAUUAUUAAUUGUAACCUAUUUCUCUCCCAUUAGAAAUUUACAACUCUUUUUUUUUGCGUCGUCUCUCCUCGCUUUAUUAUUAUAAUCAUUGUACUGUCUUUCUUUAACGUUAAGUGGUUCAUUGCACACCACUGAAAGUUUUAAAUAUUGUACCUAAAAAUUAUAUUCUAGGUAGGAACUGAGUAGGAAGAUUUAUAUGUCUAUCGAUCUUAAUAAAGUACAAAUAUUCCUAAUUUUAAGUAGCUCAUUCAGACUUAUGGGUCGAUUUAUACAUAGUCGACAGUUCAGCUAAAUUUUACAUUGCUUUCUGUCAUGCUAAAUGCAAAAUAAACAUAACGCUUUCUUUUUACUUUAUAAAUAUCGAACCCAUUUUGGUUCUUUCACAAUUCAAGUUUUAAGAAACUGAAACUUCCUUUAACCCUUCUAGAAAUUUAAGUUACGCAGGGAAAUGUAGAAUACUUCCUUGGGGUGAUAUUAUCAAUAAUGAAAGUAAUAGGUAUGAUUCCAGUUCUUCCCGAAACGCAUAAAAAAUAAGAUGGCCGCCAUCGAUCAAUCAAACACAGAUGCUUUGACAGGCAAUGUAUCACUAUAAUACAGAGAUUCAAUUACUACAAGUUCCGCCAGAGAGAAACACGUGCAGACGUAUCACGUGGAAUCAGUCUUCUAUUAAUGGUGUUCAGUAUGACGUACGUAGUUUGAGCAGUACAUACUAACGGAUUUCUUUACCAAACUUUUAGGUUGUAUGUAGCAUAUGUAUAUUUUAUAGCGAAGUGAAUAAACAUACAUGUGAGACUAGCUAGACAGUUUCUAUCAAUCUAGUAGGGUAUAUACGUAUGAACCUACACUCCAGUGCGGAAGGUCCAAGGACACGACCUAACCUGUAUCCUGAAAAAACCCAAAUGUUACAUUAAAUAGAUUGAGAAAUAAAAACUUCCGGCAACAGUCCUCCAGGUGAAAAUUUCCCAAACAAGAGAAAUUAACUCCAUCUCCAAACUCUUAGGAUAAACCACGUUACCACAAUCUCAGACCAAACUUUAACAGACGUCGCUUGUCACAAUUACAAUUGAGCUUGUACCGUCGACUUAUAGGUGGCUUGUCGAGCCGCAGUUUAGAAGUAAAUUACGCAAAUUCUUCUGCCACGUUUUUAAAUAAGAUUAACUUAAAAUAAAUGGACAAAAAUACCAUGAAUCUUACAAUUUAACCUCAAUUAUAAACUCAAUAAGAGUGACAAAUCUCGCAUAAUACGCCAAAUAACGUUCGGGUUAGAGGUAAGCUCUAUAAAACUCUAAUUCUUUCAACAUUUGCUUUCAUAAAGAACUGAAAAUUCCUUUCCUUCGCGUUACGUUAACUAUCGCACCCUUUCCCACGCAUUUACAGGGCUGCAG